rnacentral:lncRNA from 1 species
GGAGAGGGCACGCAAUAAUGCCCAUGCGAAGGCCAUGCACGACUUCGUUGUGGUAAGUCAGUUGUGUGAGAAGCAAGGCUAUGUGUGAGACGCAACAAGGCUAUUUCUUUGACUCCUCGAAAACUAAUUUCCAGGCUAUGUGUGAGAAGCAAGGCUAUGUGUGAGACGCAACAAGGCUAUUUCUUUGACUCCUCGAAAACUAAUUUGUAGGCUAUGUGUGAGAAGCAAGGUUUGCCGCCCCCUCCGCCGAUGCCUUCUCCGGUGGGAACGGUGAGUUCCCUUUCAAUGACCAACCUUGCACGGUCUUAUACCAUUGUCUGUCGCAGUGCUAACCACAUAUUUUAACUCUUGCCUUGUUGCAGCAUCAUUCCAGAGUUGAAUCCCACGAUCCCUUUACUUCUCCUGGUGAGAGCCCUAGCAACCCAGCGACCAACAGAGAUGGAGCUUCUCCUCCGUUUCUUGGCAUUCGGUAAGUUAUUCCUCUCCUUCUUAUUCUUCUUAUUGUUUAGAUCAACUUAGAUCAUGCCAUGCUUUAGUUAGCUUAGUAAAGUCUAGUUGAUAUUAGCCAUGCUUUAGUUAGCUUAGUAAAUUCUAGUUGAUAUUAGAGCUCAAAAAUGACAUAAUUAGUUUAGAAAGUUUUAAAAGAAACCAGAAGAGAAGAACAAACAAGAGAUGAAGAAAUAAGAGAAGAAGAAAGAGGAGAAAAAGAUAACUUCUCUUCUUUCUUUUUCUCCAUCUUCUUCUUCUUCUUCCACUUCUUCUUCUUGUUGUUGUUCUUGUUCUUGUUAUUCUUCUUCCACUUCUUCUUCUAAUUGCUUAGCUUAAUUUAGAUAACUUCUUUCUUAUUGUAUUCUUCUUCUAACUUCUUUCUCAUUAUGCAGAUUUUGAUAAAGCAACAUGGCAUAUGGAUGGAUGCUCGAGGGACUUUGUAAUGCACUUGUGUAGUCUUAGAUGAACUUUGUAAUGCACUUGUAUUUGUGGAUGAUGCUUUGUAAUACUUUGUGAUCUUGUUUGCACUUUAAUUACAUAUAUUCGUGUUG